AUGAACGCUGGCGGCGUGCCUAAUACAUGCAAGUCGAGCGAACAGACGAGGAGCUUGCUCCUCUGACGUUAGCGGCGGACGGGUGAGUAACACGUGGAUAACCUACCUAUAAGACUGGGAUAACUUCGGGAAACCGGAGCUAAUACCGGAUAAUAUAUUGAACCGCAUGGUUCAAUAGUGAAAGACGGUUUUGCUGUCACUUAUAGAUGGAUCCGCGCCGCAUUAGCUAGUUGGUAAGGUAACGGCUUACCAAGGCAACGAUGCGUAGCCGACCUGAGAGGGGGGUCGGCCACACUGGAACUGAGACACGGUCCAGACGCCUACGGGAGGCAGCAGUAGGGAAUCUUCCGCAAUGGGCGAAAGCUUGACGGAGCAACGCCGCGUGAGUGAUGAAGGUCUUCGGAUCGUAAAACUCUGUUAUUAGGGAAGAACAAAUGUGUAAGUAACUAUGCACGUCUUGACGGUACCUAAUCAGAAAGCCACGGCUAACUACGUG
rnacentral:rRNA from 1 species